UAAAGCAGGUUAAUAGACUGGAUCCCCCUGUGUUCUGUAAAGCAGGUUAAUGGACUGGAUCCUCCUGUGUUCUGUAAAGCAGGUUUAUAGACUGGAUCCCCCUGUGUUCUCUAAAGCAGGUUUAUGGACUGGAUCCCCCUGUGUUCUCUAAAGCAGGUUUAUAGACUGGAUCCC